rnacentral:rRNA from 1 species
UACGUAGGGUGCAAGCGUUGUCCGGAAUUAUUGGGCGUAAAGAGCUCGUAGGCGGCUUGUCACGUCGGGUGUGAAAGCCCGGGGCUUAACCCCGGGUCUGCAUUCGAUACGGGCAGGCUAGAGUGUGGUAGGGGAGACUGGAAUUCCUGGUGUAGCGGUGAAAUGCGCAGAUAUCAGGAGGAACACCGAUGGCGAAGGCAGGUCUCUGGGCCACUACUGACGCUGAGAAGCGAAAGCAUGGGGAGCGAACAGG